rnacentral:rRNA from 1 species
GACAGAGGGGGCAAGCGUUGCUCGGAAUCACUGGGCGUAAAGGGCGCGUAGGCGGGAUGGCAAGUCGGUCGUGAAAUCCUUCGGCUCAACCGAAGAACGUCGGCCGAUACUGCCGUUCUUGAGGGAUGCAGAGGAGAUUGGAAUUCCCGGUGUAGCGGUGAAAUGUGUAGAGAUCGGGAGGAACACCGGUGGCGAAGGCGGGUCUCUGGGCAUCUCCUGACGCUGAGGUGCGAAAGCGUGGGGAGCAAACAGG